rnacentral:lncRNA from 1 species
CCCUCAGCCAGCUGUGUGGACUUUUCAUCACUGGCUAUUUCAGGACAGAGUCCAAGAUAAGCACUUCUCUGGGGCUUCCUUUCAGACAAAGCUCUCCGGAGACUUGAAGCUCAUUAGCCUGACCUUUGGUCUCUGGAGAACAUGAGGAAAUAUCCUACUCUGAGAGAAUGGAAACACCAAGCGCCCAAGGGGCAGGCCUGAGCAACAAGACACAGAGCUAGAAAAGGAGGCAAAGUAAGAGAGUGCCAGAGCAUUAAUAAUUAUAAUAACAGUAAUCUCUCUCGCUCAUGGAGGCUUUACAGUUUAUAAAGCACUGUCACACAUAUUAGCUUAUGGGCUCCACAACACAUCUAAGACUGACAGAGUAACUGUCAUCUCCAUUUUGUAGAUGAAGAGAGCGAGUCCCAGAGAGGUUGUAUGAUUCGUCCAAGGUCACACAGCCAGAGAGCUGCAGAGCUGGACUGAAGCCCAGGUCUGCUGAUUUCGAGUCCUGGGCUCCUCCCCAGAUUGAGAAGAAGAAAUGGCGAUUCUUCUUUACUAGCAUGAAAAACAGGAAAGUGAAGAGACUCACUGGCUGAGAACAGGGAGGAGCCUGAGAGAUCACUGAUCCUGCCUAAACCCGGACGAGCCUCUCCACGCAUCCUCGCUUUACUGGCCCUAUGCUGGUUCUUGAGGACACACUGUGAGACACCCAGACAGCUCAGAGCUGGGAAACAAACAGCAGCAGACAAGAAGCAGCAGAUGGGUUUCCACGGUGAUCGUCUCCUGGAGCUCCGAGUGUCUUCCUUCUUCCUGAAGAUGGAGAUGCAGCAGGAAAAACAUGGAUACAGGAGGGAAACACCAAGUCCCGGUCCUGAUCUACCCCAGAUAGACCGCUUGGUGCCCCUUGAGCAAG